rnacentral:misc_RNA from 1 species
AAUUCUCAACCUUGAAAGGCUUGUCUUUUCAAUGGCUUGGAUGUGAGGGUUUUGCUGGCUUCCUUCAGUGGAUGGUCUGCUCCCUUUAAAUGCAUUAGUGGGAUCCUUUGUGGACGGUCACUUGGUGUGAUAAUUAUCUACGCCGUUUGUACUGUGAAGCAAAACUUGUGGGAACCUGCUUAUAACCGUCUGUAAUGGACAAUUUUGAAA